rnacentral:rRNA from 1 species
CCUAGGGAGGCAGCAGUGGGGAAUAUUGGACAAUGGGCGAAAGCCUGAUCCAGCCAUGCCGCGUGUGUGAAGAAGGCCUUCGGGUUGUAAAGCACUUUCAGUGGGGAAGAAAGCCUUGGGGCUAAUACCCUCGAGGAAGGACAUCACCCACAGAAGAAGCACCGGCUAACUCCGUGCCAGCAGCCGCGGUAAUACGGAGGGUGCGAGCGUUAAUCGGAAUUACUGGGCGUAAAGCGCGCGUAGGCGGUCUGAUAAGCCGGUUGUGAAAGCCCCGGGCUCAACCUGGGAACGGCAUCCGGAACUGUCAGGCUAGAGUGCAGGAGAGGAAGGUAGAAUUCCCGGUGUAGCGGUGAAAUGCGUAGAGAUCGGGAGGAAUACCAGUGGCGAAGGCGGCCUUCUGGACUGACACUGACGCUGAGGUGCGAAAGCGUGGGUAGCAAACAGGAUUAGAUACCCCAGUCGUC